GCCCCUUUAGCUCAGUUGGUAGAGGUAAGCGCCUGACAUCACUAAACAUUAAAUGAGUUUAAACUAAUAAAAUAAACAGCGCGGCACUAGUAAUGCCGAGGUCGCCGGUUCGACUCCGUCAGGGGGCA